AAAAACUUAGAUCUACACCAUAACCUCCGAAGUAUCGUUGACCUUCUAUAAUUUGUUGAAAAACUUGCAGGUCCAACACCGGCGACGAUUACGACUUGCCUCCGUUGAUAGCUUCAAAAGGAUUUUUGUGAUUCCGGAAACGAUUUCGAAUUGUGGUGUUUCUUCAUCUUCCGAAACGACCACAAAGACAGUUUCUAUUCUAUCACUUUCAGCACAACAUCGAAACCGUUUUGCCGACGGUAAGGCUUGGAAAUUAACGUAAUUGCUGCAUCUUUUGUUUGAACCUGUUUGUAUGAAACUAUUUGAUUAUCAUGUGUUAUGGUGUUGUAUGUACUAUUUAGAUUCCAAGUUAAACACAUUACGGUUGAGGUCUAUUUUCGACCACAUUCUUUUACCAGAAAAUCAUUAUUCACUUUU